AUUGAACGCUGGCGGCAGGCCUAACACAUGCAAGUCGAGCGAGCGGCGGACGGGUGAGUAAUGUAUGGGGACUGCCCGAUAGAGGGGGAUAACUACUGGAAACGGUGGCUAAUACCGCAUACUAUCCGAUAACCCCUAUGGGAUUAUCUAGUAGGUGGGGUAAAGGCUCACCUAGGCGACGAUCCCUAGCUGGUCUGAGAGGAUGAUCAGCCACACUGGAACUGAGAAACGGCCCAGAGUCCGACGGGGGCAGCAGUGGGGAAUAUUGGACAAUGGGCGCAGGCCUGAUGCAGACAUGACGAGGGUAUGAAGAAGGCCUUAGGGUUGUAAAGUAAUUGCAGCGGGGAGGAGUUACCCGCAGAAGAAGCACCGGCUAACUCCGUGCCAGCAGCCGCGGUAAUAC
rnacentral:rRNA from 1 species